rnacentral:rRNA from 1 species
UACGUAGGGGGCGAGCGUUGUCCGGAAUUAUUGGGCGUAAAGAGCGUGUAGGCGGUUCGGUAAGUCUGUCGUGAAAUCCUGAGGCUCAACCUCGGGCGUGCGAUGGAUACUGCCGGGCUAGAGGGUGGUAGAGGCGAGUGGAAUUCCCGGUGUAGCGGUGAAAUGCGCAGAUAUCGGGAGGAACACCAGUAGCGAAGGCGGCUCGCUGGGCCACACCUGACGCUGAGACGCGAAAGCUAGGGGAGCGAACAGG